rnacentral:rRNA from 1 species
UACGUAGGGGGCAAGCGUUGUCCGGAAUCAUUGGGCGUAAAGAGCGCGUAGGCGGCCCUGUAAGUCCGCUGUGAAAGUCAAGGGCUCAACCCUUGGAUGCCGGUGGAUACUGCAGGGCUAGAGUCCGGAAGAGGCGAGUGGAAUUCCUGGUGUAGCGGUGAAAUGCGCAGAUAUCAGGAGGAACACCGGUGGCGAAGGCGGUUCUCUGGGCAUGAUCUGACGCUGAGGAGCGAAAGCGUGGGGAGCGAACAGG